GUGAGGAAUUUUCCGCAAUGGGCGAAAGCCUGACGGAGCAAUGCCGCGUGAAGGAUGAAGGCCUAUGGGUUGUAAACUUCUUUUCUCAGAAAAGAAUUAUGACGGUAUCUGAGGAAUAAGCAUCGGCUAACUCUGUGCCAGCAGCCGCGGUAAGACAGAGGAUGCAAGCGUUAUCCGGAAUGAUUGGGCGUAAAGCGUCUGUAGGUUGUUUAAAAAGUAUUCUGUCAAAGAUUAGGGCUUAACCCUAGAUAGGCAGAAGAAACUUUUAAGCUAGAGUUUGGUAGAGGCAGAGGGAAUUCCCGGUGGAGCGGUGAAAUGCGUAGAUAUCGGGAGGAACACCAAAGGCGAAGGCACUCUGCUGGGCCAAUACUAACACUGAGAGACGAAAGCGAGGGGAGCAAAUGGGAUUAGAUACCCGUGUAGUCC
rnacentral:rRNA from 1 species